rnacentral:rRNA from 1 species
UGCCUUAGUAACGGCGAGUGAAGCGGCAACAGCUCAAAUUUGAAAUCUGGCUCCUUCGGGGCUCGAGUUGUAAUUUGCAGAGGAUGUUUCGGGUGCGGCGCCGGUCUAGGUCCCUUGGAACAGGGCGUCAUAGAGGGUGAGAAUCCCGUAUGCGACUGGUGACCAACCCCAUGUGAAACGCCUUCGACGAGUCGAGUUGUUUGGGAAUGCAGCUCAAAAUGGGUGGUAAAUUUCAUCUAAAGCUAAAUACUGGCCGGAGACCGAUAGCGCACAAGUAGAGUGAUCGAAAGAUGAAAAGCACUUUGGAAAGAGAGUCAAACAGUACGUGAAAUUGUUGAAAGGGAAGCGCUUGGCGCCAGACCUGCCGGCGGGUGAUCAGCGGUCGUUCUCGGCCGUGUACUCGCCCGUCAUCAGGCCAGCAUCGGUUUUGGCGGUCGGAUAAAGGCCUUGGGAAUGUAGCUCCCCUCGGGGAGUGUUAUAGCCCUCGGUGGAAUGCGGCCAGCCGGGACCGAGGACCGCGC